GAUGAACGCUGGCGGCGUGCCUAAUACAUGCAAGUCGAGCGACCGGACGAGAAGCUUGCUCCUCUGAUGUUAGCGGCGGACGGGUGAGUAACACGUGGAUAACCUACCUAUAUGACUGGGAUAACUUCGGGAAACCGGAGCUAAUACCGGAUAAUAUUUUGAACCGCAUGGUUCAAAAGUGAAAGACGGUCUUGCUGUCACUUAUAGAUGGAUCCGCGCUGCAUUAGCUAGUUGGUAAGGUAACGGCUUACCAAGGCAACGAUGCAUAGCCGACCUGAGAGGGUGAUCAGCCACACUGGAACUGAGACACGGUCCAGACUCCUACGGGAGGCAGCAGUAGGGAAUCUUGCGCAAUGGGCGAAAGCCUGACGGAGCAACGCCGCGUGAGUGAUGAAGGUCUUCGGAUCGUAAAACUCUGUUAUUAGGGAAGAACAGAUGUGUAAGUAACUGUGCACGUCUUGACGGUACCUAAUCAGAAAGCCACGGCUAACUACGUG
rnacentral:rRNA from 1 species